GACGAACGCUGGCGGCGUGCCUAAUACAUGCCAGUCGAACGAACCGCGACUAGGUGCUUGCACUUGGUCAAGGUGAGUGGCGAACGGGUGAGUAACACGUGGGUAGCCUACCUCAUAGUGGGGGAUAACAGUCGGAAACGACUGCUAAUACCGCAUAGGACAUAGGAUCACAUGAUUCUGUGAGGAAAGGUGGCGCAAGCUAUCGCUAAGAGAUGGACCCGCGGUGCAUUAGCUAGUUGGUAGGGUAAAGGCCUACCAAGGCGAUGAUGCAUAGCCGACCUGAGAGGGUGAUCGGCCACAUUGGGACUGAGACACGGCCCAAACUCCUACGGGAGGCAGCAGUAGGGAAUCUUCCGCAAUGGACGCAAGUCUGACGGAGCAACGCCGCGUGAGUGAAGAAGGUCUUCGGAUCGUAAAGCUCUGUUGUUAGAGAAGAACAGCGCAUAGAGUAACUGUUAUGCGUGUGACGGUAGCUAACCAGAAAGCCACGGCUAACUACGUG
rnacentral:rRNA from 1 species